rnacentral:piRNA from 1 species
UGGAGAUAAGUUUCAUGAGGCAUUGCUUGGU